rnacentral:rRNA from 1 species
UACGUAGGGGGCGAGCGUUGUCCGGAGUUACUGGGCGUAAAGGGCAUGCAGGCGGUCAGGCGCGUUUUGUGUGACAGCGGAUGGCUUAACUGUCCGAGGAUACGAAAGACGGCGUGACUUGAGAGCGCGAGAGGGACACGGAAUUCCGGGUGGAGUGGUGAAAUGCGUAGAUAUCCGGAGGAAUACCAAAGGCGAAGGCAGUGUCCUGGCUGGUAACUGACGCUGAGGCGCGAAAGCUAGGGGAGCGAACAGG